GCUGCUGCGAAGGCGGAGAACGAAUCCCAAUGGAGACAUGAUCCGACGUGCCGUUUGAGUAAUGGUGACCGGAUUGCCUGUACUGCGCCAUUCCUACGCAUUUAUCAUAUGCUCACGCAGUACAAUCAACACCAAAUUCAACAAUCUAGGAUCUGGGCGUGAGAGAUAAGGAAUAGAUUUGGUUUUUGAUAUUUGAUAGGUUUUUUUUUUUUUUUAA
rnacentral:misc_RNA from 1 species